GAGGACAUUUGGUGAAUUUUGCCUAAGAAGCUGAGAAGAAUCUGAUGUUGGCUUGGUAUAAGGCUGCGGUGAUGGUAAGAACCAAAUGUGGACCAACGCUACGAGUGAAACUAGGAUGCCCAUUUUGGGAGGAGUAGAUAAACCUCCUCGUGGAGAACCAGUGAUGAGAGCGAUGGGUGUCGCUUUGUGGAACUGAAACUAAGGAGUCCAAACAAAUCCUCCCAAAUCUUUGUAGUGGUUUGACAUUGUUUUUCUCAGAUCGUGUCUGUGCAGUUUAUACAGAACAAAAACUAGAAGUGAGACAGGAAAAUUAUGGAUUUGACUGGCUGUGUAAAAUGCUGUUGUUAUAUGUGACUAGAAUGGGUAUGUACCAACCCACUGCAAAGUUUUAUGAAAUGGGUUAUAUAAUCUUGUUUACUAGAGGACAUGUAAACAGUGAUCAAAACAAUAUCACAGUAAUGCUUUUUUUUUGCUUAUUAUUUAUUAUUGUGGUUGUAGUUUGCAAUUACGUGCACUGAGAGCUGUUUCUAAUAUUUUUUUACACUAAUGUUGCUAAAUAAGGUAAACAACCUUAUACAACCAGUAUGUGAUGUGACUGAAAAAUCUGCAAAAUAAAACAAUAAAUCGUUAAAUUAA